GGCGGCGCCAAUUUCUGCUUCGCCAUUUUAUUGUAGAAAGUCGAGCAGCGCGGAAAACAAACAGCGGCGGAUCACAAGGAAUAAAACACGUUACUGAUUCGUGUUUUCCGGAGUACCAGUUUUUGUUUAGAGAGUUGAGGCCUGUUGCAAUGGGAGAUCCCGGCAUGCAUAGAGACUGCCCGUUGGACUGUAAGGUGUACGUGGGGAACCUGGGGAAUAACGGUAAUAAAUCUGAGCUGGAGAGGGCGUUUGGGUACUAUGGCCCACUGCGCAGCGUCUGGGUGGCCAGGAACCCCCCUGGCUUUGCUUUCGUAGAAUUUGAGGACCCUCGUGAUGCUACAGACGCAGUCAGAGAACUGGACGGCAGGACUCUGUGCGGUUGCCGUGUGAGGGUCGAGAUGUCCAAUGGCGAAAAGCGCUCACGUAACCGAGGCCCGCCCCCUUCCUGGAGCCGCCGCCCGCGUGACGAUUACCGGCGUCGCAGCCCGCCUCCCAGGCGCAGAGUCACCACCAUGCCUCUUCUCACCAACCUCAGUCAACUAGUCCUCUUUCAGCAUCAUGUGACCAGCGUGCCCCAAUCAGCUGGCUGGGUUCGUGUCACAUGACCCAGGCAUGGCCAACCGUCAGGUCGCACCAGCCCAGCCCAUUGGUUCCUGAGCAUGCCGUUCUCAGCUCCUCCUCCUCCAACCUUAACACCCAAUCAGCAGCGGCCCACCUCACAUUCCUGACCAAUCAGCGUGUUUUACGUUCCCAAAUGUCUACACUACAACCCACCAGCAACAGCCUUCGGCUAACCAAUAAAAGCAGGAAAAAUCCACUACAGCCAGCCCCCAUCCACAAGCCAACUAAUCAGCUGGCAGCAUCUGGCCUGCCCUUUUCCGCCAAGUCCCGCCUCCCCGGCCGGCACUCCGCCUCCCCUUCGCCAUUUCUAGCUUGUUGAAAACCAAAAGACUAGUAAGUUUUUCCUGCUUCAUACAGUUUGAUGCUGAAUACAGUUGUAAAAAAAUGAAGAGACAGGUUGAAAAAGGUGCCUUUUUCCAUUUUAAUCCAGAAAUUCAAGGGUUGGUAUGAAAAAUACAGUUUAAAGGGGGGGCGGCUCCUGAGCGAGGCUGUUUUUUGAAGACUCGGAAGGAGCUCUCUCCUUUUAAACUCCCAUCAGGAGGUUACAUAAUGUUUCUCCUUUUGAGCUUUGUGCUCCAGCGCUCUGUGCUCUCUCAUUGACUGCGUUAUGAUGGUUUUUUUUUUCACUGAGUUGUCUUUACUUUUUUUUUCAUUGUUUUGUUUUUUUCUGUGCCGCAGUAACGAAGGUUCCUCAGUUUCCAUUUGUUUUCCACGAAAAACUGCAUAAAUUGCUUUAGCAGUUCAGAGAGAAUGCAGCCCCCUCCUUAUUCCUGUAUCUGUCCCCAAAUUGGCAUAUUGAUUGUGCGCACUUGUCCAGACACAGAUUAAGCCUAGCCUUAGUCAUGCUAUUGAGUGGGAUUUAUUUUAAAUUAGGGCUGUUAUUUACUGUGUCUAACUGAUAGCUUUAGUACAAUCAGGCUACAUCUGUACUCCAGUCGAUUUACCAUGCAGCAAAACUUUAGAGCUUUUUACAUGGGAAAAAAUAGAAGUCACAUCGCCCCCUACACUUACUGUAAUGCAUUACAAUCUGUCAGAGUGUCCAUUUGGAUCAUAUGAGCAUAAUUGAGCGCCUCCUAUGUCCCCUGUGGUGCAUUACAGUCUGUUAGAAUUAGCAUCACAUAAUCCAUGUGAUUGUAUGAUGACUGAUUAUUCAGAAUCCCUGCAGCUCUAUUUUAAAACCCUCCUCAGUCUGGCACUCGGUUUAGACUGUGUCUGGAGAACUGCACUGCAGUUUCCUGUUUGUAAAUCCCUCUAAAACUGCCGUUAUUGACCAACCCUCUCCUGUACGGGGUGCUCUCACCACCCCCGGUCAAAUUUCCUCCCCCUCCCUCCCUUUCUAGCGGCUCUCCGGCCCGUAGCGCGGCUGUGCUGAGAGCGAGUGGUGAGUGCAGGUAUUUUCUGGCAGGAUAAGGUUAAAAGGCUGAUGUUAGCUGUGUGUCCCUCUGUUGCUCACUCUCUCUUUCUUUCUGUCGUCCCUCUUCUCCCUCCCCAGAUCCCCCCGCAGGAGGAGCUUUAGCCGCAGCCGCAGCAGAUCUUUCUCCAGAGACCGCAGAAGGGAGAGGUCUCUGUCUCGAGACAGGAACCAUAAACCAUCUCGAUCCUUCUCCAGAUCCAGAAGUCGCUCUAGAUCGAACGACAGGAGGUGAGAUUGGUGAGACACUGAGACGGUCGCUACAGAAGGAUUGUGUAAAGACUGCGAUCAGUCGUCUUUUAACUCCAGCGUUGUGGACUCGCGCCCCCCCAGACUCAUCUUGCUUUAUCUAUUGUCCUUUUUAUUUUAUUUUAUUUUUUUUUCUCUUCUCUUAUUUUAUAAAGCGAUCAGAUGUUUUAGAGCGGCUUUGUUUCCCUGCGAUGUGUGUUUGUGUGAUAGUGCUCCACUCUUUGCUGUAUUACACUUCAUUUUUCGUCCGGCAGCAUUCCAUCUGGGAUCCCUUUUUUUAAAAUAAAAGUAUUCGGGGUUUUUGUUUUCUGUUCCUGAUGAUGCAUGGAAGGUUCGUGAAUAUAAGGAACUGGCUGAUAGUGUUUUUUUUUGUUUGUUUGUUUGUUUUGUCGUCGUCCCCCCCCCCUGCUGUGUCCAGUCCCUUUUACAUGUGUCAUGAGCUCCUAAAAAUGGAGAUGUGAAGUCCUUUUAUUUUUUCCCCGUUUUUUGGUAUGUUUAGCGUCGAGGAGCCUCUGUAUAAAUUGGACAUUGUGACAUGUAGCUUGAGACGGGGAAAUGUACAGCACUAUGAAGAACAGAUUUUUGACCUUCAUACAUUCUGUUUUGGUCCUUUUGUUUUAUUGUCCUCCCUAGUGUUUGUACCGUUUGUAAUGUUUAUCUGAAAUUAAACUGGUUCCAGGAUGA